AUGCAGGGGGCAUGCCCAAUGUGGUCACGCCUGUAGUCCCAGCUCUUGGGAGGCUGAGGCAAGAGAAUCGCUGCGAGUUCGAGACCAGCCUGGGCUACAAAGUGAGCUCAAGGCCAACCUGAACUGCAUAGUAAGACCCUGUCUCCAAAAACAAAGAAAGAGAAAAAGAUUCCGGGGGCUAGAGGAUGAGUCAAAAUGGACACGAGGAAAUCCGUGGCAGGAGUCUGAAGAAGUCUGGUGGCUAGGCUGGGGUAGUGAACAAGGCCAGGACGAUAUGUAAAGUUUAAAGCUGCGGUAGAAUGACAAAGAGAACUUUGCAAAGAAAACAUUGAGCAGCAGCCGGACCGCCAAACAGUCCUCCGGGUCGGUCCCCAGCUGGUCUCACUUUUGGAGUAUCCCAAAAGCCCGGGUCCCGUGCCAGCUGCCCCGCCCCCGUGACGCCUCCUCCUGCGCCCGGCCUGGAAGCAGCCCCGGGGAGCAGCGCGAGCCGCGAGCCGGUCUGCAGACCUCUCCCCACCCCUGCGCCCGCGCUCGCCCACCGGCAGCGCCCCAGCCCUGCGGGUCGCCCUGCCAGUCAGGAGAGCUCGCUCGCAAGUGUCCCUCCGGGAAGGGGCUUGGGAGCGGACCGAAGCCUGUGGCCAUCAGCUCCCAGUCCUAGCCAAAAAUAACCCUGGAAAGGCAAGCUGAGAAUUGUCAUCUUCUGCCAGCGGUAUAAGUGGAGGCUGGGCGCUGGGUGUGGGUGUGUGUGUGUACACACCCACCACGACCAUUUGUUGCUGGGAAUCACACACUGUCAGGCCUUGUCUCAUCCCUGGACCCACUGUCCACUUACCCCCGGCUCUCUUGAGAAGAUAGAGCAAGCACUUUGCGGUAUGGAAACUUGUUUUUCUUGUUUGUUGUGGGAUUUCAACCGCAGCAACGCAGGCACGCGUUUUCUUUUUCCUCUUGAUCUUCUCACAUUCUCUGCCCAGCUCCUCUCCUGCUCAGAUACAGGCUCGCCUCACACUGUAUCUGUCUAAAUACUGUUGAACUGGGCUCUGGAUUCCUCAUUUUCAUUGGGAAGAGGCUGAAGCUCUUUUUAAUGCCCUACCAAGAAUGAAUGAACAAAGCCACAUGAAACAAGCACCGGGUCCCAGGUAUUACAUCAGGUUCUUCUGCCCAGCCAUUUUCAUCUUCUCACCAACAAAUCCAAAGCCAUGAUCAUCUCCAUAGAAAAUGUAAGUGAAAAGAGAAAGGGUUAAAAAUGAAGCCCAAAGAGGGAAGAAGCUUAUUUUUGCUUGUCAUCUAUCACCAGUUGGACAUGUUUGUCCCCACUGAAGCUACUGCCCUGAAAGCCACCACUCUGCUUUCCCAAAGGCUGUCACUCCCAGAAAGUAUGCUUGACAUCCAGCAGCAUCCUAAAAUGUUUGGUCAUAGUAAAAUAACUGUGAAUAAUAACUCAUUCUUUGCUAGCAUGAUUUUGCAAUAUGUUUUUUCUUUAGACAGUGAAAACAACCAAAAGAAGAAGGAAUGAUGUUCCUACCAUUCACAAUUCACAGAUUAAAAGACAUUUGCAACACCAAGAAAGUAGUCAAGAUAGCAUUUGCAGUGUGUCCAAAUUUUUAUGUUGCCUCUCCUCCUUUUAUGCAUGUAACGCAAGUGUGAUAGGGAAACCACUGAAGGUACUGAUUGCAAUCUGCCUGCACUUUUCUUUGGGGUGGAGUAAAAGGAUACAAAGUUUGCUAGGAGGAAUAUGAUUUUUGAGAUCUAUUGCACAACACAGUGACUAUAAUAUUUCAAAAUUGCUAAGUCAAUGAUUUCAAGUAUUCUCACCACAAAAAGGGUAUCUAUUUGAGGUAACAGCUAUGUUAAUUAGCUUGACUUAACCAUUCUACAUUGUAGGUAUAUAUCAUCACAUCACAUUGUUCAUCAUAAAUGUAUAUAUAAUUAUCAAUUAUAAUUUUUAGAAAAAUA